rnacentral:rRNA from 1 species
ACGAACGCUGGCGGCGUGCUUAACACAUGCAAGUCGAACGGUGAAGCGCCUUCCUUUUUGGUGGGUGUGGAUGAGUGGCGAACGGGUGAGUAACACGUGAGUAACCUGCCCCCUUCUUCUGGAUAACCGCAUGAAAGUGUGGCUAAUACGGGAUAUUCUGGGUCUGUCGCAUGAUGGGUCUGGGAAAGAUAUUGUUUCGGUGGGGGAUGGGCUCGCGGCCUAUCAGCUUGUUGGUGGGGUGAUGGCCUACCAAGGCGGUGACGGGUAGCCGGCCUGAGAGGGUGGACGGUCCCAAUGGGACUGAGACACGGCCCAGACUCCUACGGGAGGCAGCAGUGGGGAAUAUUGCACAAUGGGCGCAAGCCUGAUGCAGCGACGCCGCGUGAGGGAUGGAGGCCUUCGGGUUGUGAACCUCUUUCGCCAGUGAAGCAGGCCUGCCUCGUUUGUGGGUGGGUUGACGGUAGCUGGAGAAGAAGCGCCGGCUAACUACGUG